UUGCCCUACGGGACGCAGCAGUGAGGAAUAUUGGUCAAUGGGCGCGAGCCUGAACCAGCCAAGUAGCGUGAAGGCUGACUGCCCUACGGGUUGUAAACUUCUUUUAUAAAGGAAUAAAGUGAGGCACGUGUGCCUUUUUGUAUGUACUUUAUGAAUAAGGAUCGGCUAACUCCGUGCCAGCAGCCGCGGUAAUACGGAGGAUCCGAGCGUUAUCCGGAUUUAUUGGGUUUAAAGGGAGCGUAGAUGGGUUGGUAAGUCAGUUGUGAAAGUUUGCGGCUCAACCGUAGAAUUGCAAUUGAUCCUGG
rnacentral:rRNA from 1 species